UACGUAGGUGGCAAGCGUUGUCCGGAUUUAUUGGGCGUAAAGCGCGCGCAGGCGGUUCUUUAAGUCUGAUGUGAAAGCCCCCGGCUCAACCGGGGAGGGUCAUUGGAAACUGGGGAACUUGAGUGCAGAAGAGAAGAGCGGAAUUCCACGUGUAGCGGUGAAAUGCGUAGAGAUGUGGAGGAACACCAGUGGCGAAGGCGGCUCUUUGGUCUGUAACUGACGCUGAGGCGCGAAAGCGUGGGGAGCAAACAGG
rnacentral:rRNA from 1 species